AAGCUGGGUGUGUGAGUGUGAUUAAGUCUCAUUAGAAAAAGCUGUGGCUCAUUAAAACACCUUUAUCACUGGCUCUGUCUAACACACUUGAUUUCACUUUCACCUAAGCUCUCCUCGGCAUCCGGAAACAUUGCCAGAACUCACAGUUCUAGCUACGACUAACCCAGGACAAUGAAGGCUCCUAUUCCAGCAGCAUGCAAGAAGAGACGGUGUCAUACUCGCUCCACUUUCCUCUACAAAGCUCAUAAAGAGGUCAGUCCAUUUGGAAGAGGAGGUCUAGACUUCCUGGUCUGUGAUCACGGUUUCCCUAGACGACUUCUGCUCAGACUGGUGAGCCAGGAGGCCUCGAGACUCUCGAGAAGAAAUCGCCGAAAAGUAAUCACAGUGCAAGAGAUAAAUGCUGCUGUCUCAUUGAUUCAACGCAGGAGUCACACCCAAGCUGCUGCAUGAAGUGUUCGAUUUGGAGUGCAAAAGAAAUUUAAAUGUUUUAAUAUUAAAGAGUAUAUUUUAACUAACAA